CAGUAGCCACGGUAAUACGGAGGGAGCUAGCGUUGUUCGGAAUUACUGGGCGUAAAGCGCACGUAGGCGGUUAUUCAAGUCAGAGGUGAAAGCCCGGGGCUCAACCCCGGAACUGCCUCUGAAACUAGAUGACUGGAAUCUUGGAGAGGUCAGUGGAAUUCCGAGUGUAGAGGUGAAAUUCGUAGAUAUUCGGAAGAACACCAGUGGCGAAGGCGACUGACUGGACAAGUAUUGACGCUGAGGUGCGAAAGCGUGGGGAGCAAACAGGAUUAGAUACCCCAGUAGUCCCUGUCUCUUAUAC
rnacentral:rRNA from 1 species